CCCAAAACAUGCAAGUUCGGAGCGGACAGAUGGGAGCUUGCUUCCCUGAUGUUAGCGGCGGACGGGUGAGUAACACGUGGGUAACCUGCCUGUAAGACUGGGAUAACUCCGGGAAACCGGGGCUAAUACCGGAUGGUUGUCUGAACCGCAUGGUUCAGACAUAAAAGGUGGCUUCGGCUACCACUUACAGAUGGACCCGCGGCGCAUUAGCUAGUUGGUGAGGUAACGGCUCACCAAGGCGACGAUGCGUAGCCGACCUGAGAGGGUGAUCGGCCACACUGGGACUGAGACACGGCCCAGACUCCUACGGGAGGCAGCAGUAGGGAAUCUUCCGCAAUGGACGAAAGUCUGACGGAGCAACGCCGCGUGAGUGAUGAAGGUUUUCGGAUCGUAAAGCUCUGUUGUUAGGGAAGAACAAGUGCCGUUCAAAUAGGGCGGCACCUUGACGGUACCUAACCAGAAAGCCACGGCUAACUACGUGCCAGCAGCCGCGGUAAUACGUAGGUGGCAAGCGUUGUCCGGAAUUAUUGGGCGUAAAGGGCUCGCAGGCGGUUUCUUAAGUCUGAUGUGAAAGCCCCCGGCUCAACCGGGGAGGGUCAUUGGAAACUGGGGAACUUGAGUGCAGAAGAGGAGAGUGGAAUUCCACGUGUAGCGGUGAAAUGCGUAGAGAUGUGGAGGAACACCAGUGGCGAAGGCGACUCUCUGGUCUGUAACUGACGCUGAGGAGCGAAAGCGUGGGGAGCGAACAGGAUUAGAUACCCUGGUAGUCCACGCCGUAAACGAUGAGUGCUAAGUGUUAGGGGGUUUCCGCCCCUUAGUGCUGCAGCUAACGCAUUAAGCACUCCGCCUGGGGAGUACGGUCGCAAGACUGAAACUCAAAGGAAUUGACGGGGGCCCGCACAAGCGGUGGAGCAUGUGGUUUAAUUCGAAGCAACGCGAAGAACCUUACCAGGUCUUGACAUCCUCUGACAAUCCUAAAAAUAGGACGUCCCCUUCGGGGGCAGAGUGACAGGUGGUGCAUGGUUGUCGUCAGCUCCUGUCCUGAGAUGUUGGGUUAAGUCCCGCAACCAACGCCAACCCUUGAUCUUAGUUGCCAGCAUUCAGUUGGGGCACUCUAAGGUGACUUCCCGUUGACAAACCCGAAGAAAAGUGGGGGAUUAGCGUCGAAUCAUCAUGCCGCCUUAUGACCUGAGGGUAAGCG
rnacentral:rRNA from 1 species